rnacentral:rRNA from 1 species
GACGAACGCUGGCGGCGUGCCUAAUACAUGCAAGUUGAGCGCCGAAGGGUGGUACUUGUACCUACUGGGUGAGCAGCGGACGGGUGAGUAACGCGUGGGUAAUCUGCCUUUGAGCCUGGGAUAACAUCUGGAAACGAAUGCUAAUACCGCAUAAUAUCUUUAAACACAUGUUUUAAGAUUGAAAGAUGCAAUUGCAUCACUUAAAGAUGAUCUCCCGUUGGAUUAGCUAGGUGGUUAGGGAAAGGCUCACCAAGGCGGAGAUACAGAGCCGACCUGAGAGGGUGGUCGGCCAAAUCGGGAAUGAGGCAAGGCCCAAAAUCCUAAGGGAGGCAGCAGGAGGGGAUCCUCGGCAAUGGAGCAAAGUCUGACCGAGCCACGGCGCGUGGGUGAAGGAGGGUUUCGGAUCGUAAAACUCUGUUGGUAGAGAAGAAAGUUAGUGGGAGGGGAAUGCUCAUCAAGUGACGGUACCUACUCAGAAAGGGACGGCUAACUACGUG